GGUCAAGCGAAUAAGCGCACACGGUGGAUGCCUUGGCGGUCAGAGGCGAUGAAGGACGUGGCAGCCUGCGAAAAGUAUCGGGGAGCUGGCAACAAGCUUUGAUCCGGUAAUGUCCGAAUGGGGAAACCCACCCGCUUGCGGGUAUCCUGCAGUGAAUACAUAGCUGCUGGAAGCGAACCUGGUGAACUGAAAUAUCUAAGUAACCAGAGGAAAAGAAAUCAACCGAGAUUCCGUAAGUAGCGACGAGCGAACGCGGACUAGCCCUUAAGCUGGAUUGGUUCUAGGAAAACGCUCUGGAAAGAGCGGCCAUAGAAGGUGAUAGCCCUGUAUCUGAAAGGGCCAUUCCAGUGAAGACGAGUAGGGCGGGGCACGUGAAACCCUGUCUGAACAUGGGGGGACCAUCCUCCAAGGCUAAAUACUACUGACCGACCGAUAGUGAACCAGUACCGUGAGGGAAAGGCGAAAAGAACCCCGGAGAGGGGAGUGAAAUAGAACCUGAAACCGUGUGCGUACAAGCAGUAGGAGCUCCGCAAGGAGUGACUGCGUACCUUUUGUAUAAUGGGUCAGCGACUUACUGUUCGUGGCAAGCUUAACCGUAUAGGGGAGGCGAAGGGAAACCGAGUCUGAUAAGGGCGCAUAGUCGCGGGCAGUAGACCCGAAACCGGGUGAUCUAGUCAUGCCCAGGGUGAAGGUGCGGUAACACGCACUGGAGGCCCGAACCCACUCCCGUUGCAAAGGUAGGGGAUGAGGUGUGAUUAGGAGUGAAAAGCUAAUCGAACCCGGAGAUAGCUGGUUCUCCUCGAAAGCUAUUUAGGUAGCGCCUCAUAUGUAUCCUCUCGGGGGUAGAGCACUGUUAUGGCUAGGGGGUCAUCGCGACUUACCAAACCAUUGCAAACUCCGAAUACCGAGACGGACUGUAUGGGAGACACACGGCGGGUGCUAACGUCCGUCGUGAAAAGGGAAACAACCCAGACCCACAGCUAAGGUCCCAAAUUCACUGCUAAGUGGAAAACCAUGUGGAAAGGCACAGACAGCCAGGAGGUUGGCUUAGAAGCAGCCACCCUUUAAAGAAAGCGUAAUAGCUCACUGGUCGAGUCGGUCUGCGGGGAAGAUUUAACGGGGCUAAGCAGUGAACCGAAGCUUGGGGUGCAUAACUUUGUUAUGCGCGGUAGAGGAGCGUUCCGUAAGCCGUUGAAGGUGGAUUGAGAAGUCUGCUGGAGGUAUCGGAAGUGCGAAUGCUGACAUGAGUAACGAUAAUGCGGGUGAAAAACCCGCACGCCGAAAGCCCAAGGUUUCCUUGCGCAACGUUAAUCGGCGCAGGGUGAGUCGGCCCCUAAGGCGAGGACGAAAGUCGUAGUCGAUGGGAAGCAGGUUAAUAUUCCUGCACCUCGCGUAAGUGCGAUGGAGGGACGGAGAAGGUUAGGUGUACCAGGCGUUGGUUGUCCUGGGGAAAGGCGGUAGGUUUGGAUCUUUGGCAAAUCCGGGAUCCUUUAAGACCGAGCACCGAGACGAGCCUUUAUGGCGAAGUCACUGAUACCACGCUUCCAGGAAAAGCUCCUAAGCUUCAGCUUACGCAGACCGUACCGUAAACCGACACAGGUGGGUAGGAUGAGAAUUCUCAGGCGCUUGAGAGAACUCGGGUGAAGGAACUAGGCAACAUGGCACCGUAACUUCGGGAGAAGGUGCACCCUUUUUGGUGGCUCGUGCGAGCUAUAGCUGAAGAGGGUCGCAGUAACCAGGCCGCUGCGACUGUUUAUCAAAAACACAGCACUCUGCAAACACGAAAGUGGACGUAUAGGGUGUGACGCCUGCCCGGUGCUGGAAGGUUAAUUGAUGGGGUCAGCCGCAAGGCGAAGCUCUUGAUCGAAGCCCCAGUAAACGGCGGCCGUAACUAUAACGGUCCUAAGGUAGCGAAAUUCCUUGUCGGGUAAGUUCCGACCUGCACGAAUGGCGUAACGACAGCGGCGCUGUCUCCACCCGAGACUCAGUGAAAUUGAAAUCGCUGUGAAGAUGCAGCGUUCCCGUGGCAAGACGGAAAGACCCCGUGAACCUUUACUAUAGCUUUACACUGAACGUUGAGUUCGUCUGUGUAGGAUAGGUGGGAGGCUAUGAAACUGUGGCGCUAGCUGCAGCGGAGCCAUCCUUGAAAUACCACCCUGUCGUGCUUGACGUUCUAACCUGGGCCCAUUAUCUGGGUCGGGGACCGUGUAUGGUGGGUAGUUUGACUGGGGCGGUCUCCUCCUAAAGAGUAACGGAGGAGCUCGAAGGUACGCUCAGCGCGGUCGGACAUCGCGCACUGUGUGCAAAGGCAUAAGCGUGCUUGACUGCAAGAUCGACGGAUCAAGCAGGUAGGAAACUAGGACUUAGUGAUCCGGUGGUUCUGUAUGGAAGGGCCAUCGCUCAACGGAUAAAAGGUACUCCGGGGAUAACAGGCUGAUACCGCCCAAGAGUUCAUAUCGACGGCGGUGUUUGGCACCUCGAUGUCGGCUCAUCACAUCCUGGGGCUGUAGUCGGUCCCAAGGGUAUGGCUGUUCGCCAUUUAAAGUGGUACGCGAGCUGGGUUCAGAACGUCGUGAGACAGUUCGGUCCCUAUCUGCCAUGGGCGUUGGAGAUUUGAGAGGGGCUGCUCCUAGUACGAGAGGACCGGAGUGGACGAACCUCUGGUGUUCCGGUUGUCACGCCAGUGGCAUUGCCGGGUAGCUAUGUUCGGAAGCGAUAACCGCUGAAAGCAUCUAAGCGGGAAGCGCGCCUCAAGAUGAGAUCUCCCGGGGCACAAGCCCCCUGAAGGAACCAUGUAGACUACGUGGUUGAUAGGUCAGGUGUGUAAGUACAGCAAUGUAUUGAGCUAACUGAUACUAAUGAUCCGUGCGGCUUGACCAU
rnacentral:rRNA from 2 species